rnacentral:rRNA from 1 species
UACGUAGGAGGCGAGCGUUGUCCGGAAUCACUGGGUGUAAAGCGCGUGUAGGCGGCCUGCCAAGUCUGCUGUGAAAGCGCCUGGCUUAACCGGGCGAGGUCGGUGGAAACUGGCGGGCUGGAGGUCGGUAGAGGGGGGUGGAAUUCCCGGUGUAGUGGUGAAAUGCGUAGAGAUCGGGAGGAACACCAGUGGCGAAGGCGGCCCCCUGGGCCGUACCUGACGCUGAGGCACGAAAGCUAGGGGAGCAAACAGG